GGGGUCUUGUACUGGCUUGCUAGUAAGACAUAAGGCGGAACGAUUAGGCUUGGUGUUUUUUGGUGACUGGUGAGGCCCUGCUAGUUGGCAAGUGUCUUGAAUGGCUCUAUCUAUGCGUUGGUGAGAGGGGAUUUUUUGUGGCCACCGAACGUUGUGGCAGGAUGUUGGUCUCUCGGUGACAGUAACCAGAAAAUAGGAAGGGGAGUGACAG
rnacentral:lncRNA from 1 species